rnacentral:misc_RNA from 1 species
ACGAAUUCGAAAGUCGGUCGACCGUGCUGGCAGAGACGCACGUGCACGUCGGUCGCAAACCCAAUCCACACACCUGUGAACGUACGGCCUCGGAGUCGCAAGACCUCGGGGCACCCAUUUUUCACUCUGUUUGUAACGGAAUGUACCUGUGCCUAGCGCAAAAACUUAA